rnacentral:rRNA from 1 species
GCCCUCAGGAGGGGGAUAACGGUUGGAAACGACCGCUAAUACCCCAUAUGCCGAAAGGUGAAAUGAAUUUCGCCUGAGGAUGAGCCCGCGUCUGAUUAGCUAGUUGGUAGGGUAAUGGCCUACCAAGGCUUCGAUCAGUAGCUGGUCUGAGAGGAUGAUCAGCCACACUGGGACUGAGACACGGCCCAGACUCCUACGGGAGGCAGCAGUGGGGAAUUUUCCGCAAUGGGCGAAAGCCUGACGGAGCAACGCCGCGUGAGGGACGAAGGCCUCUGGGCUGUAAACCUCUUUUCUCAAGGAAGAAGAUAUGACGGUACUUGAGGAAUAAGCCACGGCUAAUUCCGUGCCAGCAGCCGCGGUAAUACGGGAGUGGCAAGCGUUAUCCGGAAUUAUUGGGCGUAAAGCGUCCGCAGGCGGCCUUUCAAGUCUGCUGUUAAAGCGUGGAGCUUAACUCCAUUAUGGCAGUGGAAACUGUAAGGCUUGAGUAUG